GGGUUGUUAAAGCACGUUUCAGUCGUGAGGAAGGCGGGUACGUUAUAGCGAUUCGUUUGACGUUAGCGACAGAAGAAAGCACCGGCUAACUCCGUGCCAGCAGCCGCGGUAAUACGGAGGGUGCGAGCGUUAAUCGGAAUUACUGGGCGUAAAGCGCAUGCAGGUGGUUUGUUUAAGUCAGAUGUGAAAGACCCGGGGCGUCAACCUACCGGAAUAGCAUUUGUAAACUAGGCAGACUAGAGUACUGUAGAGGGGGGUAGGAAUUUCAGGUGUAGCGGUGAAAUGCGUAGAGAUCUGAAGGAAUACCGGUGGCGAAGGCGGCCCCCUCGGACAGAUACUGACACUCAGAUGCGAAAGCGUGGGGAGCAAACAGGAUUAGAUACCCUGGUAG
rnacentral:rRNA from 1 species